AAUCAACGCUGGCGGCGUGCCUCAGACAUGCAAGUCGAACGCGAAAGGUUCCUUCGGGAACCGAGUAGAGUGGCGCACGGGUGAGUAACACGUAGGUAAUUUGCCUUUGGGUGGGGAAUAACAGCCGGAAACGGCUGCUAAUACCGCAUAAUGCAGCGGCUCGACAUCGAGACAGUUGUUAAAGCGGGGGAUCGCAAGACCUCGCGCCUAAAGAGAAGCCUGCGGCAGAUUAGCUAGUUGGUAGGUAAUGGCCUACCAAGGCGACGAUCUGUAACCGGCCUGAGAGGGCGGUCGGUCACACUGACACUGACAUACGGGUCAGACUCCUACGGGA
rnacentral:rRNA from 1 species